AAGCAGCAAACGGGAGGGAGUGGAUGGGAAAGAGUGAGAGGGCUCAGGAGAGGAAAGUGGCAAGCAGGAGUGAACAGUUCAGGAUGAAACAUCAGCAGACGACAAGCCAAGGACCUGCCUUCAGGCAAAGCAGACAUGAAUGAAUGAACCCACAGUGACAAGGAAGGGAGGCAGGACUUUAGAAGUGUAGUCACAGUUGUAACGGAGAUGGUCAUUGCCUGUGACACAAAGGCUUCUUGCCCCUUAGCAGCCCAAGUCUCAAUGUGAUCCAGGUCUUGCUGCAAAUGGACACAGACUGCUUCCUUCAGUAUCUGAGGAUUGUGAAUACUUCUAAUGGAUUAAUCUAACAAGCUAUCUAAUAAGCACAUCACUGAAAAAUGAUAUAAUGGAGUCAGCUAACAAACAUUUUUAUGUUCCUUUUUUACAUGCUGUGAUCGAUGUGCAAAGAAACUUCUCAAUCCCAGUUUUAUCUGGUUUUACUUGAUCACUUAGCAUGAAUACUGCCUCUGUCUGCUGUACAAAAAUAUCUAGCUCAAGCUGGUCAUUACCAGUUAAAUUCCAGUGCUUGUCUGUCGAUGAGUACAUUGUCAAUUGCAGCUGGGGAUUUACAAUUAGAAAUAGCAGUUCAUUCACUGAAAUGCAUUUCUAAUGUUACAGCCCUUCCUCCAUAUCAAAUUCUGUCCAAACCUGUUGAUGUUGUACUGGUUCAAACAGCAUGUUCCUAAUAAAUGUGUUUUUUUUCCUCAAAUAAAAUUUGGAUAGAA